rnacentral:rRNA from 1 species
AGAGUUUGAUCAUGGCUCAGGACGAACGCUGGCGGUGUGCUUAACACAUGCAAGUGGUGCGACGAACCAGGCUUCGGCCUGGGGCAAAGCCGCGAACGGGUGAGUAACACGUGGGUAAUCUGCCCCAAUGACCGGGACAACCCGAGGAAACUCGGGCUAAUACCGGAUGUGGUGCACAGGCUUAAGUCUGUGUACUAAAGGUAGCUUCGGCUUCCGCAUUGGGAGGGGCCCGCGGCCCAUUAGCUUGUUGGUGGGGUCAAGGCCUACCAAGGCAACGAUGGGUAGCUGGUCUGAGAGGACGAUCAGCCACACUGGGACUGAGACRCGGCCCAGACUCCUACGGGAGGCAGCAGUGGGGAAUCUUGCGCAAUGCGCGAAAGCGUGACGCAGCAACACCGCGUGAGGGAAGACGGCCUUAGGGUUGUAAACCUCUUUCAGUUGGGACGAAGGUGCAGCGGUGAACAGCCGACUGGAUUGACGGUACCUUCAGAAGAAGCUCCGGCUAACUACGUGCCAGCAGCCGCGGUAAUACGUAGGGAGCGAGCGUUGUCCGGAAUCAUUGGGCGUAAAGAGCGCGUAGGUGGAUCAAUUAGUCUGCUGUGAAAGUCAAAGGCUCAACCUUUGAAAGCCGGUGGAUACUGUUGAUCUAGAGUACGGAAGAGGCGAGUGGAAUUCCUGGUGUAGCGGUGGAAUGCGCAGAUAUCAGGAGGAACACCAAUAGCGAAGGCAGCUCGCUGGGACGUUACUGACACUGAGGCGCGAAAGCGUGGGGAGCAAACAGGAUUAGAUACCCUGGUAGU